rnacentral:rRNA from 1 species
AUUGAACGCUGGCGGCAGGCCUAACACAUGCAAGUCGAGCGGUAGAGAGGAGCUCGCUUCUCUUGAGAGCGGCGGACGGGUGAGUAAUGCCUAGGAAUCUGCCUGGUAGUGGGGGAUAACGUUCGGAAACGGACGCUAAUACCGCAUACGUCCUACGGGAGAAAGUGGGGGAUCUUCGGACCUCACGCUAUCAGAUGAGCCUAGGUCGGAUUAGCUAGUUGGUGAGGUAAAGGCUCACUAAGGCGACGAUCCGUAACUGGUCUGAGAGGAUGAUCAGUCACACUGGAACUGAGACACGGUCCAGACUCCUACGGGAGGCAGCAGUGGGGAAUAUUGGACAAUGGGCGCAAGCCUGAUCCAGCCAUGCCGCGUGUGUGAAGAAGGUCUUCGGAUUGUAAAGCACUUUAAGUUGGGAGGAAGGUCAGUAGCUUAAUACGUUGCUGAUUUGACGUUACCGACAGAAUAAGCACCGGCUAACUCUGUGCCAGCAGCCGCAGUAACAC